rnacentral:rRNA from 1 species
GGGGGAACCCUGAUCCAGCAAUGCAGCGUGAGUGACGAAGGCCUUAGGGUUGUAAAACUCUUUCAUCGGUGAGGAUAAUGACAGUAGCCGAAGAAGAAGGACCGGCUAAUUCCGUGCCAGCAGCCGCGGUAAUACGGAAGGUCCUAGCGUUGUUCGGAAUUACUGGGCGUAAAGCGCAUGUAGGCGGAACAAAAAGUUAGAAGUGAAAUCCCUGGGCUCAACCUAGGAAUUGCUUUUAAAACUUUUGUUCUGGAAUUCGGGAGAGGAAAAUGGAAUUUCCAGUGUAGAGGUGAAAUUCGUAGAUAUUGGAAGGAACACCAGUGGCGAAGGCGAUUUUCUGGACUGAUAUUGACGCUGAGAUGCGAAGGCAUGGGUAGCAAACGGGAUUAGAUACCCCGGUAGUCCAUGCAGUAAACGAUGGGUGCUAGUCGUCGGACUUUUGUUCGGUGUCGUAGCUAACGCGUUAAGCACCCCGCCUGGGGAGUACGGUCGCAAGAUUAAAACUCAAAUAAAUUGACGGGGACCCGCACAAGCAGUGGAGCAUGUGGUUUAAUUCGACGCAACGCGAAGAACCUUACCAGCGUUUGACAUGGGAAGUGCCGGUUACAGAAUGGUAACCUUCAGUUCGGCUGGCUUCCACACAGGUGCUGCAUGGCUGUCGUCAGCUCGUGUCGUGAGAUGUUGGGUUAAGUCCCGCAACGAGCGCAACCCUUAUCGUUAGUUACUAACAGUUCGGCUGA